CCUACGGGUGGCAGCAGUGAGGAAUAUUGGUCAAUGGACGUAAGUCUGAACCAGCCAAGUAGCGUGAGGGAAGACUGCACUAUGGGUUGUAAACCUCUUUUAUGCGGGGAUAAAGGUGUCCACGUGUGGCUGUUUGCAGGUACCGUAUGAAUAAGGACCGGCUAAUUCCGUGCCAGCAGCCGCGGUAAUACGGAAGGUCCGGGCGUUAUCCGGAUUUAUUGGGUUUAAAGGGAGCGUAGGCCGUUCUAUAAGCUUGCCGUGAAAUUUUGUGGCUCAACGCUGGGAGUGCGGCGCAUACUGGCGAGCUUGAGUGCACGGAAGGCAGGCGGAAUUCGUGGUGUAGCGGUGAAAUGCAUAGAGAUCACGAAGAACCCCGAUUGCGAAGGCAGCCUGCCGCAGUGUUACUGACGCUGAAGCACGAAAGCGCGGGUAGCGAACAGGAUUAGAUACCCUAGUAGUC
rnacentral:rRNA from 1 species